rnacentral:rRNA from 1 species
CAAGUCGUGGGGCAGCAGGGGCGUAGCAAUACGCUCGCUGGCGACCGGCAAACGGGUGCGGAACACGUACACAACCUUCCUUGAAGUGGGGAAUAGCCCGGGGAAACCCGGAUUAAUACCCCGUAAUAUAAUGAAGCGGCAUCGUUUUAUUAUUAAAGCUCCGGCGCUUUAAGAUGGGUGUGCGACUGAUUAGGCAGUUGGCGGGGUAACGGCCCACCAAACCUACGAUCAGUAACUGGUGUGAGAGCACGACCAGUCACACGGGCACUGAGACACGGGCCCGACUCCUACGGGAGGCAGCAGUAAGGAAUAUUGGUCAAUGGACGCAAGUCUGAACCAGCCAUGCCGCGUGGAGGAUGAAGGUCCUCUGGAUUGUAAACUUCUUUUAUCUGGGAAGAAACCCAUGAAUUCUUUUGUGGUUGACGGUACCAGAUGAAUAAGCACCGGCUAACUCCGUGCCAGCAGCCGCGGUAAUACGGAGGGUGCAAGCGUUAUCCGGAUUCACUGGGUUUAAAGGGUGCGUAGGGUGGGUUUGGUAAGUCAGUGGUGAAAUCUCCAGGCUUAACUUGGAAACUGCCAUUGAUACUAUCAAUCUUGAAUACCGUGGAGGUCAGCGGAAUAUGUCAUGUAGCGGUGAAAUGCUUAGAUAUGACAUAGAACACCAAUUGCGAAGGCAGCUGGCUACACGGAUAUUGACACUGAUGCACGAAAGCGUGGGGAUCAAACAGGAUUAGAUACCCUGGUAGUCCACGCCCUAAACGAUGGAUACUCGACAUACGCGAUAUACUGUGUGUGUCUGAGCGAAAGCAUUAAGUAUCCCACCUG